rnacentral:rRNA from 1 species
UGAGGAAUAUUGGUCAAUGGGCGUUAGCCUGAACCAGCCAAGUAGCGUGAAGGAUGAAGGCUCUAUGGGUCGUAAACUUCUUUUAUAUAAGAAUAAAGUGCAGUAUGUAUACUGUUUUGUAUGUAUUAUAUGAAUAAGGAUCGGCUAACUCCGUGCCAGCAGCCGCGGUAAUACGGAGGAUCCGAGCGUUAUCCGGAUUUAUUGGGUUUAAAGGGAGCGUAGACGGAGCAGCAAGUCUGAUGUGAAAGGCAGGGGCUCAACCCUGGACUGCAUUGGAAACUGUUGGUCUUGAGUACCGGAGGGGUAAGCGGAAUUCCUAGUGUAGCGGUGAAAUGCGUAGAUAUUAGGAGGAACACCAGUGGCGAAGGCGGCUUACUGGACGGUAACUGACGUUGAGGCUCGAAAGCGUGGGGGAGCAAACAGGAUUAGAUACC